rnacentral:rRNA from 1 species
AUUGAACGCUGGCGGCAUGCUUUACACAUGCAAGUCGAACGGUAACAGGUUAAGCUGACGAGUGGCGAACGGGUGAGUAAUGCAUCGGAACGUGCCCGAACGUGGGGGAUAACGCAGCGAAAGCUGCGCUAAUACCGCAUACGACCUGAGGAUGAAAGCGGGGGACCGUAAGGCCUCGCGCGAUCGGAGCGGCCGAUGUCAGAUUAGGUAGUUGGUGGGGUAAAGGCCCACCAAGCCGACGAUCUGUAGCUGGUUUGAGAGGACGAACAGCCACACUGGGACGGGGACACGGCCCAGAGUCCUACGGGAGGCAGCAGUGGGGAAUCAUGGACAAUGGGCGGAAGCCUGAUCCAGCAAUGCCGCGUGCGGGAAGAUGGCCUUCGGGUUGUAAACUGCUUUUGUACGGAGCGAAAAGGUCCUUUCUAAUACAAGGGGCUCAUGACGGUACCGUAAGAAUAAGCACCGGCUAACUACGUGCCAGCAGCCGCCGGGG